ACAUGCAGUCGAGGGGUAUAGUUCUUCGGAACUAGAGACCGGCGCACGGGUGCGUAACGCGUAUGCAAUCUACCUUUUACAGAGGGAUAGCCCAGAGAAAUUUGGAUUAAUACCUCAUAGUAUAUAGCCCUGGCAUCAGGAUUAUAUUAAAGUCACAACGGUAAAAGAUGAGCAUGCGUCCCAUUAGCUAGUUGGUAAGGUAACGGCUUACCAAGGCUACGAUGGGUAGGGGUCCUGAGAGGGAGAUCCCCCACACUGGUACUGAGACACGGACCAGACUCCUACGGGAGGCAGCAGUGAGGAAUAUUGGACAAUGGGCGCAAGCCUGAUCCAGCCAUGCCGCGUGCAGGAUGACGGUCCUAUGGAUUGUAAACUGCUUUUAUACGAGAAGAAACANNCCNNCGUGNNGGANCUUGACGGUAUCGUAAGAAUAAGGAUCGGCUAACUCCGUGCCAGCAGCCGCGGUAAUACGGAGGAUCCAAGCGUUAUCCGGAAUCAUUGGGUUUAAAGGGUCCGUAGGCGGUUUAAUAAGUCAGUGGUGAAAGCCCAUCGCUCAACGGUGGAACGGCCAUUGAUACUGUUAGACUUGAAUUAUUAGGAAGUAACUAGAAUAUGUAGUGUAGCGGUGAAAUGCUUAGAGAUUACAUGGAAUACCAAUUGCGAAGGCAGGUUACUACUAAUUGAUUGACGCUGAUGGACGAAAGCGUGGGUAGCGAACAGGAUUAGAUACCCUGGUAGUCCACGCCGU
rnacentral:rRNA from 1 species